AAGUUUUCAGUUGCUGUUUUACAA
rnacentral:siRNA from 1 species